rnacentral:rRNA from 1 species
UUGUCCUACGGGAGGCAGCAGUGAGGAAUAUUGGUCAAUGGCCGGAAGGCUGAACCAGCCAAGCCGCGUGAAGGACGAAGGUGCCAAGCAUUGUAAACUUCUUUUGUCAAGGGACAAAAUCAGGCUCGAGAGCCUGACCGAGGGUACUUGAAGAAAAAGCAUCGGCUAACUCCGUGCCAGCAGCCGCGGUAAUACGGAGGAUGCGAGCGUUAUCCGGAUUUAUUGGGUUUAAAGGGUGCGUAGGCGGAAUGCCAAGUCAGCGGUAAAAUCGCGGGGCUCAACCUCGCUCCGCCGUUGAAACUGGC